rnacentral:miRNA from 2 species
AAGAGAGCUAUCCAUCGACAGU